AGGAACAUGUACGCAACCUUCCUUUAACUGGAGGAUAGCCCCUCGAAAGAGGGAUUAAUACUCCGUAACAUAAUGAAGUGGCAUCACUUUAUUAUUAUAGCUCCGGCGGUUAAAGAUGGGCGUGCAACUGAUUAGAUAGUUGGCGGGGUAACGGCCCACCAAGUCUGCGAUCAGUAACUGGUGUGAGAGCACGACCAGUCACACGGGCACUGAGACACGGGCCCG
rnacentral:rRNA from 1 species